CGGCUUCCUACGGGAGGCAGCAGUGGGGAAUUUUGGACAAUGGGGGCAACCCUGAUCCAGCAACGCCGCGUGAGCGAUGAAGGUCUUCGGAUUGUAAAGCUCUGUCAAGUGGAACGAUGGGUUUUAAGGCUAAUAUCCUUAAGAUUUGACGGUACCACUGGAGGAAGUCACGGCUAACUACGUGCCAGCAGCCGCGGUAAUACGUAGGUGGCAAGCAUUGUUCGGAUUUACUAGGCGUAAAGGGCGUGCAGGUGGCCUUGUAAGUUGGAAGUGAAAAUUCACAGCUUAACUGUGGAACUGCUUCCAAAACUGCUUGGCUUGAGUAUAGGAGAGGGAAAUGGAAUUCCUGGUGUAGCGGUGAAAUGC
rnacentral:rRNA from 1 species